rnacentral:RNase_P_RNA from 1 species
GGAGUCGGCCGGGCGGUCGCCGGCGUGGCCGCAAGGCUCAUCGCCGGAGGAAAGUCCGGGCUCCGCAGGGCAGGGUGCCAGGUAACGCCUGGGCGGCGCAAGCCGACGGAAAGUGCCACAGAAAAUAUACCGCCUGCCGCCUUCGGGCGCCCAGGUAAGGGUGAAAUGGUGCGGUAAGAGCGCACCGCGCCCGUGGUAACACGGGUGGCAGGGCAAACCCCACCCGGAGCAAGACCAAAUAGGGAUCCGAUGGUGCGGCCCGCACCGGGUCCGGGUAGGUUGCUCGAGCCGCGCGGCGACGCGCGGCCCAGAUGAAUGACCGCCGACCGGACGGUUCUCGUCCGGUUACAGAACCCGGCUUACAGGCCGGCUCCCGAC